GGAAAUGGUGGAUUGUACUAUUGUGUAGCACACAAUGAAUAUGGCAGUCACAAGUCCUUUGAAAUUGAUACAACUUUUGCAGGUGUGCCGGUAGGGCCAUUUGCAGCUUUGAGGAUUAUACCAGUAGUGGCUCUCAUAGUGAUGCUUGUGUUUGUGUGCAGAAGUAGGAGAGGAGCAUCCACCAAGAGCACCAGUGGGAGAGUGG